GUUGGAGUCAGUCAGAGCAUUUCCAUAGAGAGACACUUUGCAUCAGCAGCACCAUCCUCCAGUGCUCUGGGAGAGUUUAUAGUCCUGAGAGUUGAACACUGGAUGACUGACAGCUGUCCUUCAUCACAACAGAAGACACAGAAAUCCUCCUCAUCAAAAACAUGACUUUGAUCUCCGUCCUCAUCUGGACUCUCCUCUGCUGCUGCUUCACAGAGUCCAGAGGACAGGUCACAGUGACUCAGCCUGGAGCAGUGAGCUCUGCUCUGGGAGGCUCCGUCUCCAUCUCCUGUAGGACCAGUCAGGAUGUUUAUGGCAAUAACUAUUUAGCCUGGUACCAACAGAGAGAUGGAGAAACUCCUAAACUGCUCAUUUAUUAUGCUAGCACUCUACAAUCAGGGAUUCCAGGUCGUUUUACAGGCAGUGGAUCAAACUCUGCCUUCACUCUGACCAUCAGUGGAGUCCAGACUGAAGAUGCAGCAGUUUACUACUGUCAGAGUGCACAUCACAUCAACAGUCUGUGGGUGUUCACACAGUGAAAAAGCGUCGUACAAAAACCUCCUCAGCUGAAGAGGAACUGAUCUGACUCAACAGCUGCAUUGAAACUAAAAGAUAUCAACAUAAUACAAAAAAAUAUAGUUACAAGUCAGUCUAACAGUUAACACUGACAGUUCAAAAAUGAUUAAAAAAUAUUUUAUUUUUACUGAUCAUUUUCUUCAACAAAGAUUCAAUUGAUGAAUGAAUGUGAUUUAAAGAAAACCACAGUCACUAUUUGAUGUAAUAUAUUUUCCAUAGGCAGGUUAUUACAGAUCUUUUAUUUUUUUAUUUUGUCAGGGUUUCUUCAGAUUAUUCUUCUAAUACAUUUAACUAACAAACAGGUUUAACCCUCCUGUUACCUUCACAUUUACUAACAUCUUUUAUCCUUGGGGUCAAUUUGACCCCAGCAAUUUAAACCUCCAGAAAAUGA